rnacentral:rRNA from 1 species
AUUGAACGCUGGCGGCAGGCCUAACACAUGCAAGUCGAGCGGAGCGGCGGACGGGCGAGUAAUUCCUAGGAAUCUGCCUGGUAGUGGGGGAUAACGUCCGGAAACGGGCGCUAAUACCGCAUACUAUCAGAUGAGCCUAGGUCGGAUUCGCUAGUUGGUGGGGUAAAGGCCUACCAAGGCGACGAUCCGUAACUGGUCUGAGAGGAUGAUCAGUCACACUGGAACUGAGAGACGGUCCAGAGUCCUACGGGAGGCAGCAGGGGGGAAUAGUGGAAAAUGGGAGAAAGCCUGAUACAGCCAUGCCGCGUGUGUGAAGAAGGUCUGCGGAUUGUAAAGUACUUUAAGUUGGGAGGCGGUACCAACAGAAUAAGCACCGGCUAACUUCGUGCCAGCAGCCGCGGUAAUUC